rnacentral:rRNA from 1 species
CGUGCAGGCGGCUUGUUAGGUCAGGUGUGAAAUCCCUCGGCUCAACCGAGGAAGUGCACUUGAAACCGGCAGGCUUGAGUACGGGAGAGGGAAGCGGAAUUCCUAGUGUAGAGGUGAAAUUCGUAGAUAUUAGGAGGAACAUCUGUGGCGAAGGCGGCUUCCUGGACCGAUACUGACGCUGAGACGCGAAGGCGUGGGGAGCAAACAGGAUUAGAUACCCUGGUAGUCC